UGCGCACAGAGCGCAAGACGUGGACACUCCUGUGACAGCUGCUGCUGCUGCUGCUGUAGUUAUUUAGUUAACGUUAUAAAUAAGGGAUUUUAUAGUUUCUCCUCCGGCUUCAGGAUGAUCUCUCUCACUGACUCUCAGAAAAUUGGGAUGGGUUUAACAGGAUUCGGGGUGUUUUUCCUAUUCUUCGGGAUGAUUCUGUUUUUCGACAAAGCACUCCUCGCUAUCGGGAAUAUCCUGUUUGUGGUGGGCCUAGCGUUUGUCAUUGGCCUGGAGAGGACGUUCAGAUUCUUCUUCCAGAAGAUAAAAGCCACCAGCUUCUUCCUUGGGGGAGUCUUCGUAGUGCUGAUUGGGUGGCCGAUUGUGGGAUUGGUUCUAGAGUUUUAUGGCUUUUUACUUUUGUUCAGGGGUUUCUUUCCAGUGGUUAUUGGCUUCAUCAGAAGGAUACCUGUUCUUGGAUAUUUGUUAAAUCUGCCCUUCAUUAGUGGGCCUUCGUGAGGCUGAGAGGACUGUCAGCAUUACUUGGUCAGUUUCUGCUGCUUUCUCCCCCCCUCCCCCUGCAUUAUGUGGACACAAUGGGAGAGAGCGACACCAUGGUAUAAUGGAAACUGCACUUGUCGUACUUUUUAUUUAUGAUGGAUCUUCUAAAAUAGCUUUAACCCCCAAAUGGUCAAAGACUCUUUUUAUCAUCAGAUGUACAGAUCUUUGAGAUGUUUCAGCCAAAGGGAAAUAUUAAAUUGUGUGCUUAUUUUUUCCCUGACUCGAGGCCAAAUGAACUUUAUGUUGGAAUUAAUGGACGAGGAAAGUUGUGGAUCUACAUCACAAGGGCUUUCAUUGCUUUAUCCCCUACAAAAACAUCCAGAACGCUCACUGUAAACUUCUUUAUUUUAAUGGAGGGACAUUCGGCUGAAUGGACAUGCUCUUCACUGAUUUCUAAAGCAGAAUCUGGAUUUAUCGGUUAUGUUGAAGGGCGUUCCACCUCUCAUCAUGAACUGCUUGGUUUGCUGUGUUCAGGCACUGUGUGCCGGAUGUGGCAGGUACAGGCCGUGUCUCUGAGUGAGCCGAGCGAGUUAAUCAUAUUUAAAACAGAGUAAUUCUUUUUAUUUUUUAUUUUUAAGUUGAGCUGCUAUUGAGUAACGGUUCAACUGCACAACACUUUGUAAAUACAGAUUUAAAAUAAAACGAAAAACUGG